rnacentral:lncRNA from 1 species
AAUCCAGGCAUGAUUUAUGCGCAAUCGACCCUUAUCGAUGAGCACAUUUGUUAUUUUACUUUCAUUCUGCUGCCUCUGUCACUUACUGCUUCCUCCCAUACCAGCACGAACACACUGGCACACCAGCUGUGUAGACACUGAGCACCUUCUCAACGCCACCCCAGAGGGCUGCGCUCAGAGAUGGGCGGCGAGAAGGCGAGGCGACUCCAGAGACCGAGGAGGGGGCCUAAGGUGACUGAUUUUGCACCACAGUGCGGACAAAACUCCGAGGGGGAGGAGGACUGGUUCUUCUUUUCACAAGCUCUCUGGGCCUCCAUUAUGAGACCGCUGGGAAAAUAAGAAGCCCCUUGUCUCAGCAUUUGCAGCCCUCUGCGUGUACAGGCCGUGUGCAACAGCGAAUGGUUCUACUGGGUUCAGAGUGGCCCAGGAAAAGGAAACUGAGGACGUCACACACCACGCGGGACCUGAAGGGCCCUGGGCCCGGAACCGUCUCUACCACUUCCUGGCUUUGGGAUCCUGGGUGCCCAGCUUUGUGUGGUGGGGGCUCCCUGUGUCUUAGUUUCCUCAUCUGUCAAAUGGGCCUUACACUGUGCUUGCAUCUUGGACUGAAUGUGAGGAAUUGGUGGGCUCACAUAUACCUGUCCACUCUACCUGGACCUCCUCCCAACAGCCGAAGAUUCCUCUAGGUACAUGCAAGCAAGCAGCAUGCACACACGUGGGUAGCAGGCUCUGCGUACACUCUGCACUUGCUGCUCAUGUUAACUUAGAUACCUUUCCAAAUGAGUGCCGAAGGAGGUGUCUUAGCUCUUUUUGAUGGCAUUGGAUUUUUCUGUUGUAUAAAUGUAUCAUACAUUAUGUUGUAGCCCCCUUUUAAAAAGAUAAGUGCUUUUUAAAAAAUAAUGAAACAUUUUAUUUCAAACUGGAAAUGGAAUAUUAAUGAUAUAUUUGAAGCAGUAAUGAUAUAUAAUAUAUGUACCACUCAGGUUCAUGAAAUCCUUAAAUUUUGUCACGUUUGGUUUUUAAAAUGAUGAUCUUUUAGAAAUGGGUGGAGUUCCAUGUUUUCUG